ensembl:lncRNA
GGGGUUGGGCAAUGGGAUUGGGAUGUGGGGUUGGGGUGAAUGGGGUUGGGAUAUGGGGUUGGGUAAUGGGUUUGGGAUGUGGGGUUGGGAUGAAUGGGGUUGGGAUGUGGGGUUGGGAUAUGGGGGGUUGGGGUGAAUGGGUUUGGGAUGGGGGGUGGGGUAAUGGGAUUGGGAUAUGGGGUUGCAGUGAAUGGGGUUGGGAUGUGGGGUUGGGAUAUGGGAUUGGGGUGAAUGGGGUUGGGCAAUGGGAUUGGGAUGUGGGGUUGGGGUGAAUGGGGUUGGGAUAUGGGGUUGGGUAAUGGGUUUGGGAUGUGGGGUUGGGAUGAAUGGGGUUGGGAUGUGGGGUUGGGAUAGGGGUUGGGGUGAAU